rnacentral:lncRNA from 1 species
GAUUACCUAAUGAUGGCCAAGUGAUUACCCCACAAGAUGAUCAACCGCACCUUCUGGCAUCCACAGGAGACGGACCAGUCAACCAAGAAGACGCCAGAGGAGUCUUCAGUCAACCGACAGUGAUGGCCCUAGCCAUCAUCAGCUUUUGCUUUCAUGUAUGGGGAUGGUGACUCAUCUGAGAAGAUGAUCAACAGCACCUUCUGACAUCUACAGGAGACGGACCAGUCAACCAAGAAGACGCCAGAGGAGUCUUCAGUCAACCGACAGUGAUGGCCCCAGCCAUCAUCAGCUUUUGCUUUUACUUUUACAUUUACUAAAGUAAAAGACUUUUGCUUUACGGAAAGCAAAAGCUGAUGAUGGCUGGGGCCAUCACUGUCGGUUGAAUGAAGACUCCUCUGGCGUUUUCUUGGUUGACUGGUCUGUCUCCUGUGGAUGCCAGAAGGUGCUGUUGAUCAUCUUCUCAGAUGAGUCACCAUCCCCAUUUAAGUGAUGUAGUGGUCUGGUGUAAUGGUGGUGGAAUAUUCUGUUUCCUUGUGUGUUUUGACUUGAUAUUAGCAGAUUUAAAUUUUAUUCCUUCCUACUGUUACCCCUUUUGGUUGGAGUAUUUAGUUGGUGUUGGAAAUGCAUUAAAUUCUACCGCUAUGACCUUUACUUACCUGUUUACUGUUUUAGUAAUCAAAAUUAAAUUUAUAUAGAAUAUCUGCAUAUUUGGUUUGGUAAAUCGCUCUACUAGUCAAGGCUCAACCUACCUUGACGCAAAUGCCUAAUUGACGAAAUUGAUAUUUUAAUAAUAGAAAAUAAUAUUUUAUAAUAAAAUUGUAUUUUGGUG